rnacentral:lncRNA from 1 species
UUCUCAUUGCUUCAAAGUAAUAACCAUCCACACAAAGUAUGCUUUUGUGCUCAUCGUCCCCUAAAUUCACCUUCCCAUGGUUUACAUACAACUGCAUCAUCACUAUCAUAAUUAAUGAAAAUUAUAUCGUGUGAAGAGCAGACAAAAAAAAGAAUCCCUAAAGUGAACCCAACAUCCCAACUGCAACAAAACAAAGAGAAACCACCAAAAUCAGAAAAUAUAAUAUAAACAGAAAAUAGAUCGUUAACCACAAAGUACCUUCUUUCUGCUCUUUUUUCCUUGAUCUUCUUCCUCGUUAACUGCUUUCAACCGUGACACAGCAUGCAAAUGAUUUUUUUUUUGGUUCAUCUACAUAAUAAACAGUGAGAGGAGUCAUUAAAAAUCGUAGGUUUAUAAUAUAAUGAUCUCGACGUUCAGGUAUGCAUGUGUAACUGGCUUGUUUCAAUAAGAAAAGAAAACAACAGAAACUGGAUCUAAAAGAAGAGAGGGUCCCUUACCGUUUAUCUGGAAAUUACAUGCCAUCUCUCAGCUUAAAUCUUCAAAGAUUGCACUGAGUCAGUCUAUAGACAGAAGCCUUCUCAAUCUAUGUUUGUUGUUAGCUUUGUAAGAUGAACAGCAAAGCAAAGCGAAGCCCUACUGAUAUUUCAAACUAAAAAGAGAUUGCAGAAAUGAUAUGAGGUAAAAAGAUUAACUGAUUUUGAUGCAGGCAUGAAGAAAUCUGUAGUUGACAAAUAUAUUUAGCAAGGAAGUGGAUCGCUUAAGAGAGAUCGUGUGGAACAAAUAGUGAUGAAGAUCAACUAAU